rnacentral:misc_RNA from 1 species
GAUGAAGAACGCAGCGAAAUGCGAUACGUAAUGUGAAUUGCAGAAUUCAGUGAAUCAUCGAAUCUUUGAACGCACAUUGCGCCCGCCAGCACUCUGGCGGGCAUGCCUGUUCGAGCGUCAUUUCAACCAUCAAGCCCCAGGCUUGCGUUGGAGCCCUGCGGCUGCCGCAGCCUCCUAAAAGCAGUGGCGGGCUCGCUAUCACACCGAGUUCAGUAGAUUACUCUUCGCUCAGGGCGUGCAGCGGGUUCCGGCCGUGAAACCCCCUACUUUUAAAGGUUGACCUCGGAUCAGGUAGGAAUACCCGCUGAACUUAAGCAUAUCAAUAAGCGGAGGA